ACAAAAUCUAGUAGGAAGACUAUUGCUUACUGGUGUGGUCUUUGAAGAUGGGGAAUUUUAGGAUGUUUCUAUCCACUGUAUAUGUGAAGACUUCAGGAAUCUUACCAUUCACAAAUAAUAAUAAUUCUACUUCAUAAUUUGUGAUGCAAGAUCAUAUCAAUUUGAUAAAAUGUAUAAAUCUAACAACAAAACAUUUUCUUGUAAAAUAUUGUAAGGAAGAAAAAACUGGCAAACUUUAAAAUGAAUCUGCUUAUCUGUGAAGGUAUGUGCCUGUUCCUCACAACUUGCAAAUGCUGAUAUCGUUGCAGUAGAAACGUUCUUAAGAAAAGUGUCAACUGUAUUACAAAGAGAUUAACAUCCAAAUAAGUCUGUAUUAUAACCUGAACAUUUCAGUAGAGUGCUACUAUAUUAUUGCAAGCAUAUUGACGUCUUUUCUGGCAGGAUUAACUGCAUCCUAAGAAUAACAAACAAGAACACGUGUGCUGUUCUGCCAGUGUCAGAACAUUCUGUGCGACUCUUGCACAAACUAAAAUAUAAUUUUGUUUUUUAGGUCAUCUCAGCAGAACGGAACUGAAGAUGUGACACACAAGACACCAGGAGAAUCAGCUGGAGAGGGGAGGUGCUGAUCAAUGAAGGACACGUAGAGAGACUCGCUUCUAGAUCUGUCAGUCUUGGGGAAGCUCUUCUUCAGGAAUGCGGAGGAGUGCAUAAGCAAAAGAGGAUGCCUACAGACAUGAAAGAGCCAAUGGAUUCUUCCAGCUUUGCUGCUGGCACACUAGAUCCACAAGGGCAGGGCUUGAAUUGGAGCAGAACUUUGAGCCGCACAAAUUCCCUCAAGCUCUGCAACAGCCUCCAGGAAAUCCACAAGGCACUUUGUGCCUCUCCAAAGACUCUGGCUUGUAAACCCUGGUUUCCUUUGCAUCUACUGCUUUAG
rnacentral:lncRNA from 1 species